AGUUCGAUCAGCUCAGAUUGGUUUGGCGGGAUGCUUUACACAUGCAUGCAAGUCGAACGGCAGCACGGACUUCGGUCUGGUAGCGAGUGGCGAACGGGUGAGUAAUGUAUCGGAACGUGCCCUGACGGGGGAUAUCACAGCGUAGCUAAUACCACGCUACGCCCUUCGGGGAAAGCGGGGACCUUCGGGCCUCGCACUAUUAGAGCGGCCGAUAUCCAGUUAGCUAGUUGGUGGGGUAACAGCUCACCAAGGCGACGAUCCGUAGCUGGUUUGAAGAGACGACCAGCCACACUGGGACUGAACCUGGCAGCUGAUCUACCAGGAGGCAGCAGUGGGAAUUUUGGACAAUGGGGAAACCCUGAUCCAGCCAUCCGCGUGUGCGAUGAGAGCCUUCGGGUUGUAAAGCACUUUUGGCGGAAAGAAACGGCACGGGACCAUUACCCCGUGCAACUGACGGUACCUGCAGAAUAAGCACCGGCUAACUACGUGCCAGCAGCCGCGGUAAUACGUAGGGUGCAAGCGUUAAUCGGAAUUACUGGGCGUAAAGCGUGCGCGGCGGUUCGGAAGAAAAGAUGUGAAAUCCCAGAGCUUAACUUUGGAACUGCAUUUUUAACUUGACUAGAGUGUCAGAGGAGGUGGAAUUCCGCAGUGUAGCAGUGAAAUGCGUAGAUAUGCGGAGGAACACCGAUGGCGAAAGGCGGCCUCGUAAGGAUAGCACUGACGCUCAUGCACGAAAAGCGUGGGGAGCAAACAGGAUUAGAUGCCACCGGUAGUCCACGCCCUAAACGAUGUCAACUAUUUGGGGCCUUCAGGCCUUGGUAGCGCAGCUAACGCGUGAAGUUGACCCGCCUGGGGAGAUGCAAUUCAUAGAUUAAACUCAAAGGUGACGGGGACCCACUAAGCAGUGGAUGAUGUGGAUUAAUUCGAUGCAACGCGAAAAACCUUACCUACCCUUGACAUGUCUGGAAUCCCGAAGAGAUUUGGGGUGCUCGCAAGAGGAGCCGGAACACAGGUGCUGCAUGGCUGUCGUCAGCUCGUGUCGUGAGAUGUUGGGUUGAUCCGCAACAGGCAGCCCUUUAUCAUUAGUUGCUACGAAAGGGCACUCUAAUGAGACUGCCGGUGACAAACCGGAGGAAGGUGGGGAUGACGUCAAGUCCUCAUGGCCCUUAUGGGUAGGGCUUCACACGUCAUACAAUGGUCGGGACAGAGAGGUCGCCAACCCCGCGAGGAGCCAAUCGAAACCCGAUCGUAGUCCGGAUCGCGGUCUGCCGCUCAGGCUGGUAGAAGUUAAGAUGCUAAUCGCCGGAUCAGCAUGUCGCGGUGAAUGGUCCCGGGUCAUUAUACACCACACCGCCCGUCACACCAUGGGAGUGGGUUUACCAGAAGUAGUUAGCUAACCCGUAAGGAGGGCGAUUACCACGGUAGGAUUCAUGACUGGGGUGAAGUCGUAACAAGGUAG
rnacentral:rRNA from 1 species